UUAAGGCGAAGUGUACGUAAUUAAACUACACAAUGGAUUCUUUUUAAAUUUUACAUGUAGAUUCUGCUUGUAAAAAUAAAUCGGAAAAUAAAAUAAAAAAAGGGGGUAACCGUUUUCGUUUUUGAGAUACGAGCUGUUGAAGUUACCAGCAUCAUACACCAAAAUUACAAAGGAUAUAUAGGGAAAAUCGUGAAAUUCGGCAGGAAUUGUUACAUUUCCAAGAUUUUCUAUCAUAUUAGACAAUCGAUUUUUUUUUUAAAUUUAUGAGACGAUUCUAAAAUGUCUGAGGAAUCGAUUGGUGCAAAGAAAGUCCUUAGCAACCGUGCUACUUUUCAAGCUAUACCCUGUUAAAGUUGAAUCUUGAGUGUAAAAAAACAAAAAACAACGACAACGUUAUUGACGUCGCCGCAACAGUUACGACGCUUCAUAUAGUCCUAUACUUGUAUGAAAUAUAUAUAUACUGUUUUGUUGGAGUUCGUGUUGCUCGGUCUUUAGUUCUUUAUGCUACGUUUUGUGUACUAUUGUAUUGUAUUUGUCUAUUAUAUUCGGGUGCGUGCGGAGAUCGCCAAGCUAGAAAACGGUUGACAUUUUCUUCAUUAUGAACUAGAACUAUUUUCGACUUUGGUGCCUUAUUUUUUGUUAAAAUCUAAACACUGCAACGUGUUUUCAAAAUCUUUGUUCCCAUAAAACUUCAUUUCGUCAAGGUCUCUUCUCAGAAUAUCAGCCAUCUGUCUGGCACAGGAUAACAAAUCAAUAUUUAAGUAAAUUUAAGUUGUGUGGUAAUUCUUAGUACAUUUGGGUAAAUUAAUCUAAUCUUUGUGCCGCACAAGCAUUUCUAUAAUUCAACACAUCCCUGAGCCACGACAUUAUAUAUUUUAUGCAUUGCAUGCGCUUCUUUUUAUCACAAUCCAAACCGGCUAGUAACCGUUGUAUAACUUUACACGUCUGAAGACAAAUAUUUGCGUGAAACAUUUUUGUAUGAUUUUUAUUUCUAGAAAUCAACCUGAAAUCUACAACAGUCCAUUCCGAAAGUCGGACUGGACCUUUACUUUUAUGUGCAUUCGGGAUCUACACAAAUUGUAACCCGAAUAAUUCAGUCGUUUUAUUCAGCUGAUGUACGAAUGCUACAUUUCUCGUGUGGGAGAAAAUCGGACAUGGAAAGGGCUUGAAUUAUUCGAGUUACUCAAAUUGAAACUCGGGAAUAUAUUUCUAGCUGUUCGGAAUUCGUGGAAACAAAUGAUUGUUUUUCGGCAUUACGAUAUUGAAUCAAUAGAGAUACCAAUUAUUUCUUUUAACAAAUUGGAAUACCAGUCAGUUUAUAGGUCUUCAGUUAGAAAUAGGGGCGGCAAUCCAUUCAUUUUAUCCAAUCAAUUGGAAGAGGGGAUCAACAUUGAUAGUCAAAAAGCCUUGAAAUAUUCGAUAAAAACGUUGAAUGUAAAUUAUAUGAACUCCAAAGUCUCAUAUUAUAAGACUAGUAAACCACAGGCUUCUCAAUUCUUGUAUGAUCAUGAACUAGGUGAAAACCUAGAGCUGACCGAGUGCGAGAUCCUCAUGGAUAAUCAUCGAGGUCGUUAAACACCCCUUGCAGUAAACUUUGGUUAAAUUUUAAAAAAAAAAUCGAAAUGUAAUAGUCUGAACACAUUUCACCUCUCAUUCCACUAAAUAUUAAAUUGCAGUUACAAGUAUCACAAAACUUCCCUGACCUUUUUUCUUUAACCAUAAUAGAGGGAGGAGGGAAGGAAGGAUCCAGAUCCCGAAAUCCCGGG
rnacentral:lncRNA from 1 species